CCCUUUGUGGUGUAGUUGGUAUCACACCCGGCUGUAAACCGGUUGGUCACCAGUUCGACUCUGGUCGAAGGGA
rnacentral:tRNA from 1 species